UACGGAGGAUCCGAGCGUUAUCCGGAUUUAUUGGGUUUAAAGGGUGCGCAGGCGGGAGAUUAAGUCGGCGGUGAAAUUUUGCAGCUCAACUGUAAAAGUGCCUUCGAAACUGGUUUCCUUGAGUGUAGAUGAAGUAGGCGGAAUUUGUGGUGUAGCGGUGAAAUGCUUAGAUAUCACGAGGAGCUCCGAUUGCGCAGGCAGCUUACUAAACCACUACUGACGCUCAGGCACGAAGGCGUGGGGAUCAAACAGGAUUAGAUACCCGUGUA
rnacentral:rRNA from 1 species